GGCCUUUUCAUGAACCGAUCGAGCCCCUAUAUGCAUUCGUGCCGGGCUUGCUCGGCUAUGGGGAUAAACGAAGGCGUGCAAUAGACGCAGCGGACCCGGGGGCGGUACCCGGCGGCUCCACCAUAAUCCUCGCGAAAGCGGGGCUCAUGAUGGGGCCGAACUAGGAUCGACGUGUGUUGAAAAGCGCUAUCUAUCUCUCAGCGUGGGCCACUGUGACGGUCUGAAACACAAGUGCCAACGAUAACGAAGCACUCGCUAUUGCGGCCUAACCCCACGGCUUAACGGCCUAAGGUUAGACUAAAAUGCGCGGUUGGACCGCACCGGGCAACAGAAGCGGAUUCCAGCGGUUUGGGGAGCACCGGGCAACAGAAGCUCCCUACU
rnacentral:tmRNA from 1 species